UUUGGUAGAACUGAAAUAAUAUUUGGCAGGUACUUCUUUCAACAGUUUUCCUUGAUAUACAGGGCAUCAGAUGGGAGACAAUUUCAGCAUUAAUUUCUGUUAUCAUUUCAGAAAAAGCAGACAAACUGGAGAUGACCAAGCACGAGUUGUCAGUGUGGGGCGUUCAAGAGACGAAAAAAAUACCCUGCAUCAUGGAAGACAAAGAAAAAAGUAACGAGACUGACUUCUUUAUCUGUGAAAUUACACAGACACCCAGCCACAACUUUCAGCACUUAAUAAUUACAUAUGGUGACAAGACAGUAAGACUAGGGCCUCCAUCUUUAUUAAAUCAGGUCCUUGUGAUAGUGCGUUUUCUGCUGAUACCCUGUAUUAUUGCUGUGUUGGUGAUUAUCUGUCGAUGGCAAAAGACGCUCACUGCUAAAAUGAACUAUGAACAACAAACCUGAUGGCUGUUUUACAACUCCAUUCUCAAGAUGGACGUCAUGCCUCAGGUUGAUUUCCAUUCCUUCUUGAUACCCAUUUCUCCACCUGUGGGUUACUAGAGUAAAGUUCACUCUUUGGUGUCAAAAUGAUGUCAAGGGACACAACCUUCACCUUACAACGGGUGUAACUGUUUCAUUUUGCAACCACUCUCAAUAUUGUGUGAUGUAUAAUUGUGGGACUGUUUUGGGCCCUCCUCUGUUAUUGUUAAUUGCUGCCAUGUUUUUGUUUUUACUUUAAUUUGUGUACAAACGAGGUACAAUGAGGUGCUGAUGAGUGGAUUUUGUUACUGUUGGGCAGAGCUUAGCUGGCUGUGUCCAAGUUUCCUAUCUUUAUGCUAAGCUAAGCUAAACGGCUAUUGGCCGUCGCUUCAUAUUUACCGUACAAAUUCAUGAGUCAUAUCAGUUUUAUCAUUUUUUGAAGCAAAUGAAUGUUUUAGUUUUUCUGUAUAUAGUCUAUACCUCUUUCAUGUAAAGUAAUGGUAAUAUUUGGGAUUUGGAUUAUUAUUAUUGAGGGUCAAUUAGAACAUUAAUAUACUGUAGUUUUCCCAUUUUGGGUGUCAGUAUAUCAGAAUGUAAAUGAGAUUUUGUAAUAAAGUUAUUCUUUUUUCUACAGAGUGAAGUGUAGUUUGUAGUUUA